rnacentral:rRNA from 1 species
AUGGAUCUCUCCAGUCUGAUUGUGCCUUUCACAUGGGCGGAGAUUGUCACAGCUAUCAACAAGGCCCCAAACAACAGGAGCCCGGGUCCAGACGACUUCACUAAUGAAUUUUACAAGGCCUUCAAGACAACUUUACAAGAGGAUCUGUUGAGUUUCUUCAAUGACUUUUAUGACAAUAAUGUUGACCUUGCUGGCAUCAAUUCUGCUUUCAUUACCCUGCUGCCAAAAAAGGAUACCCCCAUGGAGAUGAAGGACUACAGGCCCAUCUCCCUGGUCCAUAGCACCCCCAAGCUCACCUCCAAGGUCUUGACCAACAGACUACAGCAGCAAAUU